rnacentral:rRNA from 1 species
UACGGGGGGUGCGAGCGUUGUCCGGAUUCACUGGGCGUAAAGGGCGCGUAGGCGGCUUGAUCAGUCCAAUCUGUAAGUGCGGGGCUCACCCCCGUGAUGGGUUGGGGACGGUUGGGCUGGGGCGCGGCAGAGGGGGACGGAAUGCCGGGUGUAGUGGUGAAAUGCGUAGAGAUCCGGCGGAACACCGGUGGUGAAGACGGUUCCCUUGGCCGAGGCCGACGCUGAGGCGCGAGAGCGUGGGGAGCGAACCGG